rnacentral:rRNA from 1 species
GGCGAACGCUGGCGGCAGGCUUAACACAUGCAAGUCGAGCGGACCUUUCGGGGUCAGCGGCGGACGGGUGAGUAACGCGUGGGAACGUGCCUUCCGGUUCGGAAUAACCCUGGGAAACUAGGGCUAAUACAGGAUACGCCCUUAUGGGGAAAGGUUUACUGCCGGCAGAUCGGCCCGCGUCUGAUUAGCUAGUUGGUGGGGUAACGGCCUACCAAGGCGACGAUCAGUAGCUGGUCUGAGAGGAUGAUCAGCCACACAGAGCCUGAGACACGGCCCAGAAUCCGACGGGAGGCAGCAGGGGGGAAUAUUGGACAAUGGGCGCAAGCCUGAUCCAGCCAUGCCGCGUGAGUGAUGAAGGCCUUAGGGUUGUAAAGCUCUUUUAUCCGGGACGAUAAUGACGGUACCGGAGGAAUAAGCCCCGGCUAACUUCGUGCCAGCCGCCGCCGUA